rnacentral:rRNA from 1 species
UAAAGCCUACGGGGGGCAGCAGUGGGGAAUAUUGGGCAAUGGGCGCAAGCCUGACCCAGCAACGCCGCGUGAAGGAAGAAGGCUUUCGGGUUGUAAACUUCUUUUCUCAGGGACGAAGAAAGUGACGGUACCUGAGGAAUAAGCCACGGCUAACUACGUGCCAGCAGCCGCGGUAAUACGUAGGUGGCAAGCGUUAUCCGGAUUUACUGGGUGUAAAGGGCGUGUAGGCGGGACUGCAAGUCAGAUGGGAAAACCACGGG